UACAGAGGUCUCAAGCGUUGUUCGGAUUCAUUGGGCGUAAAGGGUGCGUAGGCGGCGCGGUAAGUCGGGUGUGAAAUCUUGGAGCUUAACUCCGAAACUGCAUUCGAUACUGCCGUGCUUGAGGACUGGAGAGGAGACUGGAAUUCAUGGUGUAGCAGUGAAAUGCGUAGAGAUCAUGAGGAAGACCAGUGGCGAAGGCGGGUCUCUGGACAGUUCCUGACACUGAGACACGAAGGCCAGGGGGAGCAAAUGGG
rnacentral:rRNA from 1 species